GAGCCACACGCAUUGUCAUGCUGCUGUGAUUGCUGUCAAUCAAAGACCACGUGGCUGAGACGGCAGUGAGGCAGCUGGGUCGAGUCACCACGCCAGUGAUACCAGAACAAGGGAUUCACUUCUGAUUUGUUCUGUAGAUUUCAAGGUCACCACCCAGACCACUGGACAAUGAGAGAGGAGGCACCACAACAGGCGUUGUACCAGUUCCACCUGUAAAACAUGACCUGGAUUAAUGAUAGGAGUGGAGCGGUCCAGUUUCACCUGUACAACAUGACCUGGAUUAGUAAGAGAAGCGGAGUGGUCGAGUUCCACCUGUAAAACAUGACCUAGAUUAGUGAUAAGAGCAGAGUGGUCCAGUUCCACUUGUAAAACAUGACCUGAAUAGUGAAGAAGCAAAGCGGUCCAGUUCCACCUGUAAAACAUGACCUGAAUUAGUGAGGCACGGGCUACCUGGACUCAGGUAACUCCUUCACUAUGAUCAAUUAUUUC